rnacentral:rRNA from 1 species
UGGGGAAUAUUGCACAAUGGGCGCAAGCCUGAUGCAGCCAUGCCGCGUGUGUGAAGAAGGCCUUCGGGUUGUAAAGCACUUUCAGCGGGGAGGAAGGCGUUAAGGUUAAUAACCUUGGCGAUUGACGUUACCCGCAGAAGAAGCACCGGCUAACUCCGUGCCAGCAGCCGCGGUAAUACGGAGGGUGCAAGCGUUAAUCGGAAUUACUGGGCGUAAAGCGCACGCAGGCGGUCUGUCAAGUCGGAUGUGAAAUCCCCGGGGUCAACCUGGGAACUGCAUUCGAAACUGGCAGGCUAGAGUCUUGUAGAGGGGGGUAGAAAUCCAGGUGUAGCGAUGAAAUGCGUAGAGAUCUGGAGGAAUACCGGUGGCGAAGGCGGCCCCCUGGACAAAGACUGACGCUCAGGUGCGAAAGCGUGGGGAGCAAACAGG